GUUUUUGUGGUGCAAUUGUCAGUACGCUCGGCGUGUAUUCGAGAUAUCCGUGGUUCGAGUCCUGGCGAGGGCA
rnacentral:tRNA from 1 species